AUUCCAUGAUGAAGGCACUUCCGUAAUAAUUCUUUGUACCUUUCCCAUGCCUCAAACAAGGACUCUACAUCCAUUUGUUGGAAAGUAGUGAUCUCAUUCCUUAACUU
rnacentral:snoRNA from 1 species